GCUGUUUUGCCUUCAAAAUAUAGUACAAUGCAUUGUUCUUUGACAAAGGACAGUUUUCUCAACCCUGGUAGAUAGGAAUUAGCUAUGGAGAAAAUCCACCACUUUAAUUGUUGAAACAGAUGAUCGAUGCAUGACCAGAAGAAGAGUGCGAGCUAGUCAAGAGUACCUGACUCACGGAAAACUGCUGGAAAAUUUACUGUAGAACUUUGUGGACACAAACAAAACCUGAUUAUGAAUAAAAAGAAAGCCAAAUCUUAAUCCCCAUUGAACCUGUUUUCACUGUUGUACAUUAGUUUCCUGACUGAGUUGCUGCUGCCUCCAGUUGGUCUUGUACAUUAAUAGUUUAUAUCUAUGGACUCUCACUAACCGCAAAGCUUCUCCAACGCUACAUCUAAUAUUUUGCAUCUCUGGUCAUUCAAUCUUGUCUUUUUUACAUAUUAGAGAAAUAAAAUUCUGGCAAUCAAAAAUUACAGAUCUCACCUAUUUCAUUUCUUUGUUAUCACGUUGCCUGUUUUAAAAUAAAUUGCUGCCUCACUAAUUUCCGUUCUGCCGAACCUGCAAAAUUAAUUGAUUUAAUCCCUGAAAUAUUGCUGUUGAGAUUUGAUCUUUAAAGCAUCAGGAAAAGUAGUGGAUCACUGAAAAAUGAAGUCAGCAGAUAAGAAGAUCCCAUUCCUAUGGUGAGCUGAUGAGGGAAGUGUCAAACCAUCUUAUAAUUUGCCAUAUAGAUCAUCUAAUCGGCAUGGUAAACUCCUACUCGAGGGAAAACUUAAAAGGUGUCUGAGUGUCAGGAUCUAAUCUAUCAAGGAUGUAUGAAUGCUUUGGUAUCCUAUGCUUCAGUGCACCUUGAUUGAUGAGGUGUGAGAGGUCCAAGAGCCUGAGACCCUGCAAUCCCUGAAAAUUUGGGGUACAGCAAAUCACUUUAUCUAAGGAUGAAAAUAUCCUGUUUUGAGGAUGGGGCUAGAGGCUUCCUAGGAGCCCAACUGAUACAGGGAAGAAUUUUCUGAUGCUUCAUCUCUUGCUAAGUUGCUAUGCUUGUCUAGCACACAAGGGUGUCGAAACAUUCGCACAGUAUGGGCCAAAAGAACAGGCCUAUGCAGUGCAUUUCAUCUUCUAUGCCUCAGUCCAUGUUUUCUGGUGGCGUAAAAGAAUGUAAGUGUGUGUCUAUGUUUGUGUGUGUGGGUAUGUGCAUGCAUGCACAAAUACGGCAAAUAGAAUCAGGAAGUUUGGAAUUGCAUUCUCACUUUAUAGUUUAUUCAACCUAUCAUAACUUCUUAAGCUUACUAUAGGGAAAUCCUCCAUGAAUACACCAUGAAGUUAAGGAAGGUAGCUGACAAAAUCCUCAUGGUCAUGGCAAAGUUGUUGGAUCUGAAUGAGGAGUACUUCACUCAGCAGCUUGGAGGCACAGCUGCAGUAUAUGCAAGAUUUAACUAUUACCCAUGUUGUUCAAGACCUGAUCUUGUCUUCGGCCUCAAACCUCACUCUGAUGGCUCCAUGAUCACUAUUGUUUUGCCAGACAAAGAUGUGGAAGGUCUUCAGGUACUCAAAGAUGGUGAGUGGGUUAGGAUACCCACAAAUCCUCAUGCUUUUCUUGUCAACUUUGGAGAUGAGAUGGAGGUAACUAUCAUUUUUUCAACAGUAAUUCUUCUUCCCUUCCUUUAGACCAUUGUCAGAAUCCUAAUUCUUUAAUUUUUCAACAAGGAUUCUAUUAUGAUUUUAUUUAUGCUGGUCAUUUCCCGGUGUUCUUAUUAAUUCUUUGAAGUUUGAAGAAAUACUAGUUCUUAUGAUACAAGACAAAUGUUUAAUGGAAUUACAGAUGUCAAUUGAAGAUUACACUACAUUCACAAAUGAUUAAAUUUGUAAUAUUGUAGCUUCUCAAAGGAGAAAAAAAGAAAAAUUUAUAAAGAGCUAUUUCCGUGGGUUAGUGCACAAAUUUCUGAAAGGAGACGCAUAAUUAAAAUGUGCUAAGAAGAAUAAUCGUAAGGCCUACACAUGGUGAAGGAAACACCAUUAUAUUUUGGUAGAAUAAUCAUUUACCCUUUUUUGUGAUACUUUGCUAAGUAUCAUAUAAUUUAAUCAUUGACAAAAAAGUUUUAAAAGAAGGAACACAAUGGAUAUACGCAUAUCAAAUUCCUUUUCUUGACAUGUAAUGACUCCUUCCACAGCAAAUUGUUCAGCUCCAUUCCAGAAAUAAUUUUGAAUGAAGAAGCAUGUGCUUAUUUCUCGCUGCUUAUUCUUUCCUAUUUUAUGUAAUGAUACCUUUCUUUUUGAGAAUAGACUCCUUUUUUUCAGAUUAUGAGCAAUGGGAUUUUCAAAAGCCCUGUGCAUAGAGUGGUGACCAACUUAGAAAAGGAGAGGAUCUCUUUGGCUAUGUUUUAUGCAUUAGAACCAGAAAAGGAGUUGGAACCUGCUGACAGGCUGGUAGAUGAGAUGCAUCCAAGAUUGUACAGGAAGGUGAAGAUGAAAGACUAUCUUGAAGUCUUCUUCAGGAACUUUUCACAAGGGAAGAGAACUAUUGACUGGGCAAAAAUCUAACCAAAACAUCGGCUUAAACCUUCAUCAAGCACUAAUGUCUUUGUUGCUGAAAGGGGAAUCCAAGCUCGGUCCCAUCGAACAAACGGUAUCAUAUACAUCAUGUUUAAUACUGGCUGCAAAUCCUAGUUUGGUGCUUUUCAAUUGUCCAAGAUUCAGGCAGGUUUCCUUGGCAGGCCAGCUGCCUGCUUCAUAUCCAAUUUACAGGUUAUCUUGAACUUGCAUUCCUCUACAUUUGGUCAUUUUGUGACUCUGGUAUUACAUUAGUGGGAUGUCAUGUGAUAUGCAACUAGGAGAGGUUUGUCUCAAACUCCCAAAUCUUUCUAUCAAACAGCACUUCAUAAAGUUUAUAUCAUACCUGCUAAAUAGACACUUCAUUCUCUUUCAAUGGAGUCAAGGUAAUAGAGGUGUACCAAGGGAACAGAGGUGCUUGCCUCCGUCUCUGCUUAAGUUCCAUGUAUGGAGCCAUUGGACUCAUACAGAUACAUGACACCUAACCAUUGGCUAAGAGUUGGUAUGGUUUGCACUUGUCUGUUCUGUUUUCAGAAAUAUAGUAAUGCUAACGUAAUGCUUAGAGGAUCAAAAAAGGGACACCAAAACAAUGUAUUAUUUGAAAACAAGGCAAGAAUUUGCAUCUAUUGUCAUCUGAUUUAAUUACAAUUGUUAAUUUAAAUAUUUUCCUUUUCUCAGCAUGGAGAGGAGCAAUUUGCCAAACAAAACCCUAAAGUGUUUUUGUCUUUCUUUUAGGACAAUUCAAAUAAUUUUCGCCUACAUCAAAAAGAAAAAUCAGACAAUUAACAUCCCUUUCAAAAUUGUGCAAGUUUCUUAAGAAUUAUAAUAUAAGCACCAAAAGACAAUAGACAAAACUUUCCAAGCUAAUAAUCAGUUCGGACUUCCCAUGCACUUCUUUAUUUUGUUUUUUUAGCAAGCUGAUGGCAAGCCACUUGACAUUUUAGGGGUAAAUGAAUUGAGAAAAGGAGUACAUACAAAAAAAGUGGAAGGAAAAGACACAACUAAAUCUAGUCCAAACAACGAGGCACACCCUGACAAAAGCAACACACAAGAUAACAGCUUGGAUCCAUUUUGGGCGACCCAUGAUGGCCCGUGUCGAGUUAAACCAGUAUCCAAUCCCAAAUUUGUUCAAAAUUCAAACUUGAAAUUUAAAUUUAUAUUUCAAGAAUCAUAUGAAAACUGUGUAUUUUUUGUUACGACUCAGGAUUUUACUCAAAAAGACUAGCUGGAAGGUAUUGUUUGGAUUCUUGGUCCCGAAUAAGUAUCCAGAAUUUAUUUAUUUCAUAGCUAAUAUGGGACUAAACACACGACCACAUGGAUCCUCAUAUAUUUUUCACAGUUAAGCCUUUGAAAACAGUCAGUUAUAGUUAUGGUCUUGACAAUCUGGGAGUCUGGAAGGGAGUAAACUAAGGAUUCUAACCUUUGUCAUUUUUUCUACCCAAAGUGGCUGCUCCAAACCUAUACCAUUGUGCCUAUCAGCCCAAGCUAUUUACCAUUGCGCCUAGCAAUGACCUCUCACUAAAAAUCUAGUAAUCUACACUAAUUCUAAGUUAAACCCUAGAUAUUUGAAACCUUGGCUGUGAUAUCAAAAACCAUCUCACCUAAACCCCAUCAUGUGAGUUGACACGUGACACAAUCAUACAUUCCAUAGAGUAUAGUCCUAGGGAAGGUACAAGGCUUGCUGGAAUAACAAAUUUCAAAAUAUAAAUUAAUAUUCCAAAAUAAAAUAAAUAACUCCAAUAUUAUUAAAUAACAACAACAAUACAAUAUAAAUUUAUGAUCAUCAUAAACAUUUAUUUCUUCUGUCAUCUCUUACUAGCAAACCCAAUAUCAACCAAGUGCUAUGCAACCUGAGACUUUGAAAAACAAUCAAGAGACUGGUAUGAGCUAACUAGCUCAAUAAAAAAUCCUCAUAACGUACACCAAUAUAUAAAAUGAUAAAAUAAUAAUGAUAAACAUAACUGAUGGAAUAAUAUCAAGUAGAGUAAAAUGUUCAUAACAUGUGUAUACUAAUCAAUUAUCAAAAUCUGGAUACUGGUUAAUCAAAUUUAAUAUGCAUCAAUCACAUGCCGACAAAAGCAAUUUAUUUUAGCAGUGUUUUCAUUUGAGUAUUUUAUUAUCAAAUCAACAAAGUUAGAUUCACCAACAAUCAUAAGAUUUCACAAAAGGGAGCUUCCAAUUAUCUUUCCAGUAUUGGACUAGCCACAACCACACUCCAACCCAUGACCGGUAAACUAAAGCAGCACAUUCUUGCUUGUGGCAGUGCUAUCCACAGUGCCAUGUUCGUGGCCUACCCAUGAUAAGCCUUUUAAAUACUGCAUUCUUGGUCAUGAUGAGGCUAUCCACAGUGCCAUGUUCCAACCAAUCUGUGAUGGCUAUCCCACGCGUAAGUUGGUGGCGACUANNNNNNNNNNNNNNNNCUACCCAUGAUGAAGUUAUCCAUCAUGCCAUAUUUCUAUAUGUUGCGGCUAUCCCAUACAUAAGACCAAGGCUAUCCAUAAUGCCACAUUCCUAUUGAUAAUGGGUAGGUGUAAGCUCGUGGCAUAUAUGUUGUAGCUUGGUGGUUACUUCAAACUUGGGAUCACUAGUUCGAAUCCCUUUGAUCCAAUUGUGGGUUAUAUGGUUUAUUUUCAUUCAUAGCGAUCAAGGAAUUCACCUAAAAGGACUGGCUAGAAAGUGUUAGUUAAGGUCAUUGGCUCUAUAUAAGUAUCCAAGAUCUAUCUAGUGCAUAGUUGAUUUGACCCAUCAAUCCGAUCUAUAAACAACACGCUUUAAACAGGUUUGACUUUAUACAAAUGGUUUGCAUCAUAAAUGGGGCAACCCGUCUAGUUCAGUUCAGGUUAAUUUAGACCUUCAACUCAUUUAACCGGUUACCAUCUACAUGCAUGGAAGAGAACUCAUUACGAGAGACAAUGUUAAGGCGAUAUAAACUAUUACAUGGAAGACCUCCAUCAACAAAUUUAGAGCCACAAAAUAGUUUAUGUUUUCCAUUACCAAAAGUAAACCUAAAAUUACUAGAAUCAAGUUUAGAAAGAGAAAUUGAAUUCCGCCUUAUGGACAAUACAUAAACAGUAUUUUCUAAAAUAAGGGUAAAUCUUGACUGUAACUCUAGUCUAACAUCUCCAAUAAGUUCAACUCAAACUUUGACUUCAUUUCCUACGAAUACCUUGACAAUCAUCCUCGCUUGCCCUCCACUUGUUUAUGAACUCAUGCAAAGAAUUAAUAAUAUGAAUAGAUGCCCCACUAUCCAACUACAAAAAUGUAAUAGAACAUCUAACAAGAGCUAGUGAAUUAUCUUUAUGCAUGUUCUUCUUUUCUAACUGAUUCUUAUGCUUGAAACAAUCAGGUUUCUUAUGACCCUUCUUUUUUGUAGAAGAAGCACUUCAAAAUCUUCUUAAUAGCAACUCGUUGGUCUCCAGGAUUCUGAUUUCUAAUUCUAGAAUUGUGAGUCUGACCAGCCCUUUUUGGAACAAUUAUCUUUUUUUUAUUAUAUGUGGGACCCCUAGGGUGUGGCUGAUACAUCAUAUUAGUACUCUCACUCUUUUUCCUAAGAUAUUUUUCUUCUUCUUGAACACAAGCAGAAAUAAGUUUAUUUACAUUCCAUUUAUCCCUCAUCACAUUAUAUGUGAUUUAAGCUGACCAAAUUACGUAGGGAGAGAAUUAAGAAUUUGAUGCACAAGAAAAUCACUAGGGAUAGGGAUUUCAAGACUACUAAGCUUGGAUGCAAUACUCUCUAGUUGCAUGAUAUAAGCUCUAACACCCUCACUAUCAUCAUAUCUCAUAUUGAUUAAUUUUUCAAUUAGCUCUCCAACCUCAACCUUAUUAGAUUCUACAUACCUCUUAUUUAUGGCAUCAAAGAAUUGUCUAGUAUUACCAUUGUCAGGUGAAGCAUCUAGAGUCGAAUGUGAUAUGGAUCUUUUGAUAAUCAUCAGGCUAAAACUAUUCGCACUCUCCCAUUUUUCAUAAGCAGUCUUUUGCUCUAAAGUUCUCUCACUAGUAACUUAAGAUGGAGGAUCAUCUCUGAGUACAAUAUCUAAAUCCAUCAAACCCAUCGGUAAUUCAAUAUCAAGUUUCUAUCUUUUGUAGUUUGUUCUAAUCAGAGUUUCAAUGAGAAAAGUAGUGUUAUUCAUGACAAAGGUGCUAACUGCAAAACAACUUCAAUGCAUUUAAUUAAUAGACAAAUAUAAGUAAACAAUAUGCUUGAAAAUAUUUAUCAACAUUACUUAAAUGAGAGCCUUUGAUGCAAUGUCACAAACUUCCUGUGGGAAGAAAGUGACCCACAUAAGGUAAUCUUUCCAACGUAUAGUGGAAUCAACUAGUAAAAUAUUAUCAGCUUUCGGAGGUCCAUCUACUCUAAUAGAAUGGAUUUUUAGGCCAUACACACUCACUAGUCAAAAAAUAUUCCACUUCAGAAUUACAACACGCAAUAUACUCCCUUGGGAAGAUGAUUGUAUGCAUUAAUCUCUCAACGCUUCUCAAUCCUUUUCAAAAAAUUAAAAGAAGAAACCUGCAAAUCUCAAUGAAUGGGCCACUUUGGCGAUCACUGUUCAUUGAAACCCACAACCCUCCAAAAAUAGAGAUCAACCAGCUAUGCACCAAUAGCAUAGCAAUUUACCAAAAUUAACAUGACUCUCCAUCUAUUUAAACACCAAACAAGGAAUCCUACAAAUCUCAAUGAAUGGUCCAUUUUGUUGGUCACCAUUCAUUGAAACUUACAACCCUCUAAAAAUAUAGAUUUGCACAAAACAUAUCAUUAUUCAUUCCAAACAUGAGGGUACAUAAACUUUACAACAACAUAUUUAAGGAUCUUUAUGCAAUAAAAAUAUAUGACGGGGACCACAACAUAAUUAUCAUAGUACCAUUUCAUAAUAAAACUUUAGUAUUGGAAUAAAAUAAGUAUUUAGGGACCUUUAUGUAAUAAAAUUUCACCAUAGGGAUUAAAAUGCAAUUUUGAAAGAACGGAAAUAAUAAUAUGCCCUUUAGGGGAUAAACUGCAAAUAUCUUCUUCUUCUUCUUUUUUAACUAAUGGGGUUCGGAUUUCGGGUCAAAACCCACUAUCCUUACCUUCCUCCCCAUGAUUGGGUGGAGGAGGGCAAGAAUACGGCGGCCGUCCUCGCCUAAAUAACCGCUAGCGACCUCAAAAUUUCUUAAUCGCCGGCCGCUGCCCUGUUCUGGCGACUUCGACUGCCGGUUUUUCAGAGAUUUGAGAUGAGCCAGCGGUCCUUUUUUUUGAAAGCUAAUGACAAGGAGGAAGAACCCUCCCACCCACCCCACAUGGCGGUGUGGCCGCUAGCUGGGCUCACCAUCGGCCUGUCUGAGGCAGCUGGCGGUGACCUCUCUACCCACCCAAUGGGAGGAGGGGGACACAACGACAGGAUACGUGAGUGCCGCCGUCCCUUCUUUUUUCUUCCUUCUCUUCCCUUCUUUUUUAAUUUCUUCCUCACGUCCUUUUUCUGAUUUUUUCCUUUUAAUUUGAUUUCUUCUCAAUUUGAUUCGUUAUUUUGUUUCUAAUCUCUUACAAAAUCCAGGCUUUAAGACCACAUAAAAAAUAAUAAAUUCAACGAGAGAAGAUUGAAGCUACCUUGAAAGCCCUGGAAGUCAUGAUGAUCGUUAUAAUAAUAUCUUGCGGAAGAAGAAAGCACAUAGAUAGAAUGUAUCUUUCUCUCCUCCUCCUUGAUAUCUAUCGCCUCAGAGAUCUUAAUGCCUCAUAAGAAUGCAGAGAUCUUGAUGCCUUAGGAUAAGCAAAUACACAUAGGAGUGGAGUAAGGGCUUA
rnacentral:lncRNA from 1 species